GGCUCAGAAAAUGCAACGCAUGCCAGGUGAAAUCCACCCUACUUGCCCAAUAUACCUUGUUUUCGCCGGUUGUCCAUACCCCUUUUUAUAGCCCAUUCAAAUUACGACUAAUUUUUUCGUCGCAGGGGAGAGCACUUAUCGACUAAAGUGUGCGCCAAAGUGGAAUUUUAAAAAACCUUCUUGGCUUUCCCGCUUGGUUUUCUGUGAUUUUCACCACUUCCAGCGCUUUCGGCUCUGGCGAUUGCCAGGACAGUUUCUGUUGUUGCAAGGGGUUUCGGUACCUGGAGGACUUUCAUCAGGUGAGUAUAUUUUUCAAGUCGGAGAAUGAAUUCUUUAAGUAAUUCUAAUUAGCUUUCAUAUUUUUCGCCAAUAUUUGUCCUCUCGUUGUUUCCCAGGUCUUUGUUUGUUCUUCCUUUAGUUUCAAAGAAGCACUUCCAUUACCUGCAACGCUUAUAGUCUAGUCCUGGCCUCGACUGGUCCUGGUAACAUACGUCUGGGAGUUCUUCUUUUCGGCCACCUCUUCUGCCCACAGUUUAUUGAAAUAAUCCUCCAGUUUGUCCACCACAUUGUCGAUAAGAUCUGUGGGGUUUUUGGUGGAUGGAAUCCUCACUCGAAGCCACGCCAUCGCAGAGAUUCAAGGAUCCAACAUCGCUAGGACACACAUCCGACGACUCACUGCAGUCCACGGGGCAGUAAUGGUCCUCGUCCUCUGGUGCCAUAUCUGCUUCAUACGGCCACUUGGGCUUGGGCUGCGGUUGCUCAUCCUCCAAGCAACACCACUUUACCUUGUACGAGUCCUGGCCGCAUUUCCCGUACUGCUCUGCCGUCAGCUGAUCGCUAUUGCUCUCACAGAUGAGAAAGCGACCAUUACACUCAUUGCAGCGCGGCAGGUCACACAGACUACUGGACUUGUGCAGAUGAUAGCCAUCCUUGGGGGUGAGCUUCUUCGGCACCACCUGCUUGGAGCAGCCACGGCAGGUGCACAGUGGGACCUCGAUCGGGCUACAGCGGUCCCUCAUGCGAUUAUAGAGCGCCCUGUAGAUCAUAUCAAUCUGCUCCGCGUAGAACUUGUGCGCCCAAAAGAAGGCCGACUGAUAGUUGUCAAAUAGCUUGGACGUCUCUUUGGCGGCUUUUAUCCAUGCCCGCUCCUGUCUGCGUAUGGCCAUGGCAUCCACAAUCGGAUUACUGAGCGACACCGGUGGCUUCCCGCGGAAGAAUGCCUUAAAUGCACGCUUGAUGAUCGAAUACGACAACACAGCCUCCACGCUUUCCAUCCCGCACGUGAUGCGCAGAGCCUGCAGCAUUUCAUCUCGAUUGAGACGCGAUUCUGGGGCCGCAUUCGGGUUCCACUGUGUCCGCAGCCUUUCGUGGUACACAAAAGCCCGCCUGAUAAUGGCCUUGGCCUGGCAGCUCUUCGUUGUGUUGAUGCCACAGAUCAGCAUUAUGUGUGCGAGGCUCGUGGCAAUGUCCUCCAAGUUGUCGUCGAACAGCUGACGGGAAUUCAACUUCUGUUUGCAAUUGCAAUUGCAGCAGCAGUUGCCUGUGGAAUCCUGCAGUUCCGUGGUUUCCUCGUAUUUAUCCAUUUUUGGAAAAUACAAUUUUGAUUCAAACUUGACAAAUUUUGUUACUAUUCUCGAAUGGAAAUGCUUUGUGCAUAUAAUGAUUGAUUGAUGUAAUGAUAGCCAUAAGUGAUGUUCCAAAACUUGUUCUCAUAGGGUAUAGCGUUUCAUAGCGUAUUAUACGUUUUUUUAACGGAAGGAAUCACAAUUUUCUUUAAAUAAAAAAACCUCAGUUUAGACCUUCAUUAAUUAAAUAUUUUGUUAUAAUGAAAAGAAAAGCUUUUAAAAAAUGAGCCAAUCCUAUAGAAUCUUAUUAAUUUUCGAUUGAUUUUUUAAAAAUCGCUAAAUAAAUCAAAUGAAUUUGUUGAUGUAAAUUCACUUGAUAUUGUUGAUCGUCAAUAUGACAAUCGUAUGCUGAACUAUAAAUGGAUAUGCCAUCGUUUCAUGUAACAAUAACAAAAUUUCGCCGCAAUCUGUACUUGAACAAAUUGAGCUGCGAAGAAGUGCAGUUUGUACGUGUUCCUUUGUUUCUAAAUAUAAUAUUGAUACGAAUAUUUAUUUACAACUAAACAAUCAAAAUAAUCUAACAGUAGAUUAUUUCAAGGGUCAGGUCAAAGAUAUUUUAAUGACGGUCGCCUGUGUUAUCAUGCAUAUGCCGUCCCAUUUUACCAAGUGCAGGCUUCAGUGAUAAUGCCAUAAGUAUCUCAAACUGUGUAUCUACAAAUGCAUCCAGCUGUCCGAUGCAUAAUUGUUAAUGUCAGCGGUGCAGAUUACAUAUUUAGGUAGCUAGGAAAUCUUAACCGUUUAUGGCUAGCCAAAAUCAUACGAUUUUUUACUUUAAUAAAAAUCGUACACUCGCAAUGGAACAGUCGAAUGAAAAUAUAUUGCUGUGCCAAAACUUAUGGAUCCAUAAGGAGCUGUACAUGUAGUUUCACAUAUUCCAAAUUGUAUCUUAUAUUUAAACCAUUGACUCGAUCUGAAGCAGGUUCUUGCUCCCAAAUGCUCCCAUUGCUCACACAUAACGCGGCACAUUGAUGAUCGAAUGCUGCAAAAGAGCAUGCCAGAAAAAAGUAUAACAACAUACAUUGCGUGUGCAUGAUGCUAGAGUCGAAUUUCGCAGAUAGUGCAUUUUUGUUGUCGUUAAUAGACUGCUUUCAAAUUUAAAAAUCCCGCCCACCGCUUGAGCAUUCCUUUAGCUUCUUUCCCAUUCCAAAAACUGGCUUAGAAAUAUUUAUUUGCAAACCAAAUUAGAUUAGAUCCAUUCCAUGUUCCCUACAUAUUUUGGAGAUCGGCACCCAAAGAAACGCAAUUUAAUUUUCCAAUUUAUAGCAACUAUUGCUAAUUUAAUUCGCAGACCUUUGCAUGACGUGUAGAUUAUGAUUGUAUGCAAGAAACAGAUCCUAUUGAACGAUUGUUUGUCGUGAUAGAGUUAGAUAGCAGCUGAUGUCUAAUAUAAAAUGUGUGCAAAUCAAAUGCAUAAA